UUAAGCGACUAAGCGUACACGGUGGAUGCCCUGGCAGUCAGAGGCGAUGAAGGACGUGCUAAUCUGCGAUAAGCGUCGGUAAGGUGAUAUGAACCGUUAUAACCGGCGAUUUCCGAAUGGGGAAACCCAGUGUGUUUCGACACACUAUCAUUAACUGAAUCCAUAGGUUAAUGAGGCGAACCGGGGGAACUGAAACAUCUAAGUACCCCGAGGAAAAGAAAUCAACCGAGAUUCCCCCAGUAGCGGCGAGCGAACGGGGAGCAGCCCAGAGCCUGAAUCAGUGUGUGUGUUAGUGGAAGCGUCUGGAAAGGCGCGCGAUACAGGGUGACAGCCCCGUACACAAAAAUGCACAUGCUGUGAGCUCGAUGAGUAGGGCGGGACACGUGGUAUCCUGUCUGAAUAUGGGGGGACCAUCCUCCAAGGCUAAAUACUCCUGACUGACCGAUAGUGAACCAGUACCGUGAGGGAAAGGCGAAAAGAACCCCGGCGAGGGGAGUGAAAAAGAACCUGAAACCGUGUACGUACAAGCAGUGGGAGCACGCUUAGGCGUGUGACUGCGUACCUUUUGUAUAAUGGGUCAGCGACUUAUAUUCUGUAGCAAGGUUAACCGAAUAGGGGAGCCGAAGGGAAACCGAGUCUUAACUGGGCGUUAAGUUGCAGGGUAUAGACCCGAAACCCGGUGAUCUAGCCAUGGGCAGGUUGAAGGUUGGGUAACACUAACUGGAGGACCGAACCGACUAAUGUUGAAAAAUUAGCGGAUGACUUGUGGCUGGGGGUGAAAGGCCAAUCAAACCGGGAGAUAGCUGGUUCUCCCCGAAAGCUAUUUAGGUAGCGCCUCGUGAAUUCAUCUCCGGGGGUAGAGCACUGUUUCGGCAAGGGGGUCAUCCCGACUUACCAACCCGAUGCAAACUGCGAAUACCGGAGAAUGUUAUCACGGGAGACACACGGCGGGUGCUAACGUCCGUCGUGAAGAGGGAAACAACCCAGACCGCCAGCUAAGGUCCCAAAGUCAUGGUUAAGUGGGAAACGAUGUGGGAAGGCCCAGACAGCCAGGAUGUUGGCUUAGAAGCAGCCAUCAUUUAAAGAAAGCGUAAUAGCUCACUGGUCGAGUCGGCCUGCGCGGAAGAUGUAACGGGGCUAAACCAUGCACCGAAGCUGCGGCAGCGACGCUUAUGCGUUGUUGGGUAGGGGAGCGUUCUGUAAGCCUGCGAAGGUGUGCUGUGAGGCAUGCUGGAGGUAUCAGAAGUGCGAAUGCUGACAUAAGUAACGAUAAAGCGGGUGAAAAGCCCGCUCGCCGGAAGACCAAGGGUUCCUGUCCAACGUUAAUCGGGGCAGGGUGAGUCGACCCCUAAGGCGAGGCCGAAAGGCGUAGUCGAUGGGAAACAGGUUAAUAUUCCUGUACUUGGUGUUACUGCGAAGGGGGGACGGAGAAGGCUAUGUUGGCCGGGCGACGGUUGUCCCGGUUUAAGCGUGUAGGCUGGUUUUCCAGGCAAAUCCGGAAAAUCAAGGCUGAGGCGUGAUGACGAGGCACUACGGUGCUGAAGCAACAAAUGCCCUGCUUCCAGGAAAAGCCUCUAAGCAUCAGGUAACAUCAAAUCGUACCCCAAACCGACACAGGUGGUCAGGUAGAGAAUACCAAGGCGCUUGAGAGAACUCGGGUGAAGGAACUAGGCAAAAUGGUGCCGUAACUUCGGGAGAAGGCACGCUGAUAUGUAGGUGAAGUCCCUCGCGGAUGGAGCUGAAAUCAGUCGAAGAUACCAGCUGGCUGCAACUGUUUAUUAAAAACACAGCACUGUGCAAACACGAAAGUGGACGUAUACGGUGUGACGCCUGCCCGGUGCCGGAAGGUUAAUUGAUGGGGUUAGCCGCAAGGCGAAGCUCUUGAUCGAAGCCCGGUAAACGGCGGCCGUAACUAUAACGGUCCUAAGGUAGCGAAAUUCCUUGUCGGGUAAGUUCCGACCUGCACGAAUGGCGUAAUGAUGGCCAGGCUGUCUCCACCCGAGACUCAGUGAAAUUGAACUCGCUGUGAAGAUGCAGUGUACCCGCGGCAAGACGGAAAGACCCCGUGAACCUUUACUAUAGCUUGACACUGAACAUUGAGCCUUGAUGUGUAGGAUAGGUGGGAGGCUUUGAAGUGUGGACGCCAGUCUGCAUGGAGCCGACCUUGAAAUACCACCCUUUAAUGUUUGAUGUUCUAACGUUGACCCGUAAUCCGGGUUGCGGACAGUGUCUGGUGGGUAGUUUGACUGGGGCGGUCUCCUCCUAAAGAGUAACGGAGGAGCACGAAGGUUGGCUAAUCCUGGUCGGACAUCAGGAGGUUAGUGCAAUGGCAUAAGCCAGCUUGACUGCGAGCGUGACGGCGCGAGCAGGUGCGAAAGCAGGUCAUAGUGAUCCGGUGGUUCUGAAUGGAAGGGCCAUCGCUCAACGGAUAAAAGGUACUCCGGGGAUAACAGGCUGAUACCGCCCAAGAGUUCAUAUCGACGGCGGUGUUUGGCACCUCGAUGUCGGCUCAUCACAUCCUGGGGCUGAAGUAGGUCCCAAGGGUAUGGCUGUUCGCCAUUUAAAGUGGUACGCGAGCUGGGUUUAGAACGUCGUGAGACAGUUCGGUCCCUAUCUGCCGUGGGCGCUGGAGAACUGAGGGGGGCUGCUCCUAGUACGAGAGGACCGGAGUGGACGCAUCACUGGUGUUCGGGUUGUCAUGCCAAUGGCACUGCCCGGUAGCUAAAUGCGGAAGAGAUAAGUGCUGAAAGCAUCUAAGCACGAAACUUGCCCCGAGAUGAGUUCUCCCUGACUCCUUGAGAGUCCUGAAGGAACGUUGAAGACGACGACGUUGAUAGGCCGGGUGUGUAAGCGCAGCGAUGCGUUGAGCUAACCGGUACUAAUGAACCGUGAGGCUUAACCUU
rnacentral:rRNA from 1 species